GACAUCUUGAACGCAUAUUGCGGCCAUGGGUUAGCCUGUGGCCACGCCUGUCCGAGGGUCGGCU
rnacentral:rRNA from 1 species